GAUGAACGCUGGCGGCGUGCCUAAUACAUGCAAGUCGAGCGAACAGAUGAGAAGCUUGCUUCUCUGAUGUUAGCGGCGGACGGGUGCGUAACACGUGGGUAACCUACCUAUAAGACUGGGAUAACUCCGGGAAACCGGGGCUAAUACCGGAUAAUAUUUUGAACCGCAUGGUUCAAUAGUGAAAGACGGUUUCGGCUGUCACUUAUAGAUGUACCCGCGCCGUAUUAGCUAGUUGGUAAGGUAACGGCUUACCAAGGCGACGAUACGUAGCCGACCUGAGAGGGUGAUCGGCCGCACUGGAACUGAGACACGGUCCAGACUCCUACGGGAGGCAGCAGUAGGGAAUCUUCCGCAAUGGGCGAAAGCCUGACGGAGCAACGCCGCGUGAGUGAUGAAGGUCUUCGGAUCGUAAAGCUCUGUUGUUAGGGAAGAACAAAUUUGUUAGUAACUGAACAAGUCUUGACGGUACCUAACCAGAAAGCCACGGCUAACUACGUGCCAGCAGCCGCCGCAG
rnacentral:rRNA from 1 species